rnacentral:rRNA from 1 species
GACGAACGCUGGCGGCGCGCUUAACACAUGCAAGUCGAACGGAAAGGCCUGCUUUCCCUUGUGGAUUGCGGGUACUCGAGUGGCGAACGGGUGAGUAACACGUGAGUGAUCUGCCCCCAACUUGGGUAUAAGCCUGGGAAACUGGGUCUAAUUCCCGAUAGGACUGCAGGGUGGUGCCUGUGGUGGAAAACGAUUUUCUAGUGGUUGGGGAUGAGCUCGCGGCCUAUCAGCUUGUUGGUGGGGUAAUGACCUACCAAGGCGGCGACGGGUAGCCGGCCUGAGAGGGUGGACGGCCACAUUGGGACUGAGAUACGGCCCAGACUCCUACGGGAGGCAGCAGUGGGGAAUAUUGCACAAUGGGCGGAAGCCUGAUGCAGCGACGCCGAGUGGGGGAUGACGGCCUUCGGGUUGUAAACUCCUUUCGACCGCGAGGAAGCCACCUGGUUGGAAGGGUGGUGACGGUAGUGGUAGAAGAAGCACCGGCUAACUACGUG